CCUACGGGCGGCAGCAGUGGGGAAUAUUGCACAAUGGGGGAAACCCUGAUGCAGCGACGCCGCGUGAGUGAAGAAGUAUUUCGGUACGUAAAGCUCUAUCAGCAGGGAAGAAAAUGACGGUACCUGACUAAGAAGCCCCGGCUAACUACGUGCCAGCAGCCGCGGUAAUACGUAGGGGGCAAGCGUGAUCCGGAUUUAAUGGGUGUAAAGGGAGCGUAGACGGCAGCGCAAGUCUGGAGUGAAAGCCCAUGGCUUAACCAUGGAAAUGCUUUGGAAACUGUGCAGCUAGAGUGCAGGAGAGGUAAGCGGAAUUCCUAGUGUAGCGGUGAAAUGCGUAGAUAUUAGGAGGAACACCAGUGGCGAAGGCGGCUUACUGGACUGUAACUGACGUUGAGGCUCGAAAGCGUGGGGAGCAAACAGGAUUAGAUACCCGAGUAGUC
rnacentral:rRNA from 1 species